AGUAUAAAAACAGCUCUAGGACUAAAAGUUUACGUGCCGUUUGCAUCCAGAAAAGCAGCUGGGGAGAGCCUUGGGGCCCCUGGAAGAGAGCAGUUGGGUGAAAGCAGCCACUCAGUGAGGAGCCCACGCUCAUUUUUCGGAUGUCCUUUAGAGCUGCCACCUCCAGCACCUCCAGCACCUCGCUGCCGCCUGCAAGGGGCACCCCCAACACCUCGGGCAGAUCCUCCUGGGGGGGAAAGGGGGCCAGAAGAGCGGUCCCCGCCGGGGGGGCGGCUCAGGGGAGGCAGGGAGAGGUGCCCCGAUUUCCUCCUUUCCCAAACCCCCUCCAGCAGCGCCGCAGCGGCUCCCGGCGGGCAGGAUGCGGCCCCGGCUCACCCGCGGCGGGGAGCCCGCAGCCGCCAACGCACCGCGGUUCUCGAGAGGAAAAACAGCACAAAAUGGGGGAAAAAAAAUAAAAUAGAAGAAGCAGAGCAAAAGCCGGAGAGUCGCAGGGCACCGUCCCCCCGACGGCGGCGGGGCCGGGGGUCGCUGUCGGUCCUGUGGUCCUGUAGGGCUGCCUGGCCUGCCGGGGGAGAUGCCGGGGACUGGGGUCCGGGGCUCCCAGUGGGGGCAGCCCGGCUGUUACCGUCGGGGUACGAGCGCCGGGGAAGGCCGGGGGAUGCUCUCGCCCGGGAUCUCAGAGCAGCGAGCUGCGGGCUGCCUGCUGCUGGCGGGGCGGGCGGCUCCUCCGCAGCAAGCAGCCCCAGGGCCCCGCUGCGGGGCACCGGGACGGGAAAGGCAGAGCGGCUCUCACCCCGCUCAGCAGCAGUCCUAGCGGGGCUUCAUCCCGCGACGGCGGCUCCCUGGGAGCUGAAAUCCCGCAGCUCCUGCCCGGCCCCGCCGCUGCUGCUGCUGACCCCGGGGGAGAGGAGCCCCUCAGAGCCCCCUUGGGUGCCACGCACCUGCCGCCGGGAGAGCCCCGGGCCGGGCGGGGGGCUGGCAGGGAGCCCGGGGGCCUGCCUUCCCCGCUGCCUCCCGGAAAAGCCCGGGAGUCCUCCGCCGAGGAGAAGGUAG
rnacentral:lncRNA from 1 species